rnacentral:rRNA from 1 species
AGUGAACGCUGGCGGUAGGCCUAACACAUGCCAGUCGAACGACAGCACAGUAAGAGCUUGCUCUUACGGGUGGCGAGUGGCGGACGGGUGAGGAAUACAUCGGAAUCUACUUUUUCGUGGGGGAUAACGUAGGGAAACUUACGCUAAUACCGCAUACGACCUACGGGUGAAAGCAGGGGAUCUUCGGACCUUGCGCGAUUGAAUGAGCCGAUGUCGGAUUAGCUAGUUGGCGGGGUAAAGGCCCACCAAGGCGACGAUCCGUAGCUGGUCUGAGAGGAUGAUCAGCCACACUGGAACUGAGACACGGUCCAGACUCCUACGGGAGGCAGCAGUGGGGAAUAUUGGACAAUGGGCGCAAGCCUGAUCCAGCCAUACCGCGUGGGUGAAGAAGGCCUUCGGGUUGUAAAGCCCUUUUGUUGGGAAAGAAAAGCAGCAGGUUAAUACCCCGCUGUUCUGACGGUACCCAAAGAAUAAGCACCGGCUAACUUCGUG